rnacentral:rRNA from 1 species
CGACCGGCGCACGGGUGAGUAACGCGUAUGCAACCUGCCUGAUACCGGGGUAUAGCCCAUGGAAACGUGGAUUAACACCCCAUAGUACUUUUAUCCUGCAUGGGAUGUGAGUUAAAUGUUUAAGGUAUCGGAUGGGCAUGCGUCCUAUUAGUUAGUUGGCGGGGUAACAGCCCACCAAGACGAUGAUAGGUAGGGGUUCUGAGAGGAAGGUCCCCCACAUUGGAACUGAGACACGGUCCAAACUCCUACGGGAGGCAGCAGUGAGGAAUAUUGGUCAAUGGACGAGAGUCUGAACCAGCCAAGUCGCGUGAGGGAAGACUGCCCUAUGGGUUGUAAACCUCUUUUAUAAGGGAAGAAUAAGUUCUACGUGUAGAAUGAUGCCUGUACCUUAUGAAUAAGCAUCGGCUAACUCCGUGCCAGCAGCCGCGGUAAUACGGAGGAUGCGAGCGUUAUCCGGAUUUAUUGGGUUUAAAGGGUGCGUAGGCGGUUUAUUAAGUUAGUGGUUAAAUAUUUGAGCUAAACUCAAUUGUGCCAUUAAUACUGGUAAACUGGAGUACAGACGAGGUAGGCGGAAUAAGUUAAGUAGCGGUGAAAUGCAUAGAUAUAACUUAGAACUCCGAUAGCGAAGGCAGCUUACCAGACUGUAACUGACGCUGAUGCACGAGAGCGUGGGUAGCGAACAGGAUUAGAUACCCUGGUAGUCCACGCCGUAAACGAUGCUCACUGGUUCUGUGCGAUAUAUUGUACGGGAUUAAGCGAAAGUAUUAAGUGAGCCACCUGGGGAGUACGUCGGCAACGAUGAAACUCAAAGGAAUUGACGGGGGCCCGCACAAGCGGAGGAACAUGUGGUUUAAUUCGAUGAUACGCGAGGAACCUUACCUGGGUUUAAAUGGGAAAUGUCGUAUUUGGAAACAGAUAUUCUCUUCGGAGCGUUUUUCAAGGUGCUGCAUGGUUGUCGUCAGCUCGUGCCGUGAGGUGUCGGGUUAAGUCCCAUAACGAGCGCAACCCUUACCGUUAGUUGCUAGCAUGUAAUGAUGAGCACUCUAACGGGACUGCCACCGUAAGGUGAGAGGAAGGCGGGGAUGACGUCAAAUCAGCACGGCCCUUACACCCAGGGCUACACACGUGUUACAAUGGCCGGUACAGAGGGCCGCUACCAGGUGACUGGAUGCCAAUCUCAAAAGCCGGUCGUAGUUCGGAUUGGAGUCUGUAACCCGA